rnacentral:tRNA from 1 species
GCCUGGGUGGCUCAGUGGUUGAGCGUCUGUCUUUGGCUCAGGACAUGAUCCUGGAAGGCCUGGGAUCAAGUCCCACAUCAGGUU